GACGAACGCUGGCGGCGUGCUUAACACAUGCAAGUCGAACGGAAAGGCCCGGCUUUUGUGGGGUGCUCGAGUGGCGAACGGGUGAGUAACACGUGAGUAACCUGCCCUUUACUUUGGGGUAACUUCAUGAAACUGGGGCUCAUACCGGAUAGAAACUCCUGCUGCAUGGGGGUGGUUGGAAAAUUUCGGCGGUUGGGGAUGUAAUGGCGGCUUAUCGUCUUGUUGGUGGGGUAGUGGCUUACCACGGCUUUGACGGGUAGCCGGCCUGAGAGUGUGACCCGCCACAUUGGGCUUGGGGUACCGGCCGUACUCCUUCGGCGGGCAGAAGUGGGGGUUAUUGCACACUGGGCCGAGUCCGUAUGCAGCAACGCCGCGUGCGGGAUGACGGCCUUCGGGUUGUAAACCGCUUUAGCGUGGGACGAAGCGUGAGUGACGGUAAUGGGUAAAGAAGCACCGGCUAACUACGUG
rnacentral:rRNA from 1 species